rnacentral:misc_RNA from 1 species
AAGUCGUAACAAGGUAUCCGUAGGUGAACCUGCGGAUGGAUCAUUAUCACGUUAUCCACGUAUAAACCAAUCGUUGAACAGUUAUUGUUACCUUUGUUAGUAUGGAUUGUUUUUUGGGGAAACCUGAAAAAAUAAUCUUGAACACAAAGUGUAUUACUAUUCUAAUACUACAUUAACCAAUCGAACCAUUUCUAUAAUGUUUUUCUUUGUGUGAACUGAAUUGUUUCUUACUCGUCAUUCACUUGGUGAGAAGAAAACUAUUUACGAAACAUAUCGAACAACUCUUAGCAACGGAUAUCUUGGUUCUC